GUAGGUGGCAAGCGUUGUCCGGAGUUAUUGGGGCGUAAAGCGCGCGCAGGCGGUUCUUUAAGUCUGAUGUGAAAGCCCACGGGCUCAACCGUGGAGGGUCAUUGGAAACUGGAGAACUUGAGUACAGAAGAGGAAAGCGGAAUUCCACGUGUAGCGGUGAAAUGCGUAGAGAUGUGGAGGAACACCAGUGGCGAAGGCGGCUUUCUGGUCUGUAACUGACGCUGAGGCGCGAAAGCGUGGGGAGCAAACAGGAUUAGAUACCCUGGUAGUCCACGCCGUAAACGAUGAGUGCUAAGUGUUAGGGGGUUUCCGCCCCUUAGUGCUGCAGCUAACGCAUUAAGCACUCCGCCUGGGGAGUACGGCCGCAAAGGCUGA
rnacentral:rRNA from 1 species